CCCAGCUCCUCCUCCCCCGACUCCGCUCUGCAGCUUGUGCUUCAGACCGUGAGCCUCUCUAGCCACUCCGGUGCUCCAGCUACCUGGCAGCCGGCUCCUGCACACGUGGCUGACAGAUGGCUCUACAGCAGGAGAGCCCACUGGUCCGAACAGGGGAUGUAAACAUCAGACAUAUGGUGGAAUAGAACAUGCUCUCCUUUCAAGGCUCAUCAGCAAAAUCGGCCCUGCCGGUGUGAUAGAUUUUAAUGGUGCUGCACCAUUAAUCAUACAAGGUCCACCUGAUUACGAAAGAGAAAAAGUUCACUUCUAUAACAAUCGCCAGUAAUAACAAGCCAUUAGACCCCGUAAAGUGAGUUGAAAUCCUUUUUAAUUGAUUAACAGAUUAAUAAAUGUUUCAAUGGAGUUUUCCUCAUGUAGCAACAUGCGGCAAUUAGCGUCUGGAAUGUAAUUAAUGAAGGGAUAAUAAACAAUGGAGCACUUUCAUUAUCCUUACCCAAUUAUGAUGUGAUUACAGCUCUAAGCUGCCAGUGAUAUGCUGUGACUAACCAAACCAAAGUGAUUAGAGCAUGAAAUACCCCUGCUGUCCAUGUGGAUGCGUCGAUGCAAUCGUGGCGGAGAUCGCAGCACCACGUGUGAAAUACUUGCAUCAGUCUACGAAUCCUGCUGUUCUCGGCUGUUUGGG
ensembl:lncRNA